rnacentral:sRNA from 1 species
GUCUGCAGAGAGAGCUAUUCCAGAAGAAAACUCAGAAGAUUUAAUAUAUUCUGACAGCAUACAUUUUCGAAAAGAUUUAUAUAUUCCUAUGGCUCCGGUGGUGAAACCAUUGGAUUCAAUCGGACACAAUAAGGCUCAACAAGAGAGACAAUUUACCGUAGGCGAUGCUGCUGUUUUGUCUUGCAACAAUUCUCAAAAUUCCAUCGUAACAACUGAUUUGGCUCCCCAAAUUCAUGCAAUUAUUAUUUCAUCAGCAAAGCCCAACGAUUUCGAAAAUGAAGAACGUCCUAAACGAUCGUAUUCAAUUGGAAGUAAGAUAGACAGGAACAAAAUGAAACGAUCGGGAAAUUCCAACGAGAUUUUACUUGACAAAAACGAUAUCCGAGUCCGGGCAUUUUCAGUUGGAUCUCGGGCAAAAAUUCCCAAAUGUGACUUACAGCGUGCUGUUUUAUUUCCGAGAUCCCGCUUUAAUCAGAGUUGUAUUAGCAACAAUAGUUUGAAUUUUGGUGCUGAAGAUACUGGGUAUAAAUUGGACUUAAACACGAAUUGUGAUAAAAAGUCAACGAGUGCUCCUAUAUUAGUCCAAAAUAGUCAAGUAUCUGUGGAUUGUAUGAGCGAUCUAAUGGAAAUAGAUUUUUCGAAAAGUUCUAGCCAUAAAACAAAUGGAAAAGCUGUACCUGUCAGUGGAAAGGGUUCUGAUAUAUCUUUAAACGAAGUAAAGAGUUAUCAGACAUCUAAACCCAUUGGCGAGUUGUUACAAACAUUUCCGCUUAAAAAAAUAAAUCCUGAAGAAAGUGGAUAUUUGGAAAUGAAGCCUUUGAACAACGAAUUAUGUUCCAUGAAUAAGCCUUUCCUAUCGCAUUCAAACGAUUGCUUUGCUGAUAUAACAGGAGCAAGUGACAUUACAUCUCUAUCAUGCGUAAAAAGGAAGGAAGCUCAAAUCUCCUCCCACGAUAACUAUCCAUUUGAGGAAAAACUCGCAAAUAAAAAAAAAAAUCAUUUGUGUAUGCCUACUAAAAAGCUGGAUAUUGUAUUCCGUGAAGAAAAUCGAAAUGAUCACUUGGAAGAAGUAAAACUUGAUAGCACUUCUACUUCUAAUUCUGAGGAUAUUACUUAUCUUUCGUGCAUAUAUUCCCAACUUUCAGUUCAACCGACUUCAAAAACUGUUAAUGAAACCGACUCUGAAAAGAGUAUUUCUAUGGUUGAUACGGAGAAAAAAUUUAAAACUACAAAACACAUAUUCCAUGAGGAAUAUAGUACGAAAUGUUCAGUGCUAGACAACGUACAUGGCAAACAUAACAGAUCUAAAGAAGCAGAAUCCUUUUCUAACAAAGAGCGAAUAUUGCCAAUAACAGAAAUAAAUGAGAGAUAUUCUGUUUCAUUAAACGUGCCUUCCUUGCCAUUAGCUCCAUUGUCCAACGCCAGCAAACUUUCAUCAGUCGCUCGAUUCAACGAUGCUCCAACAUUAUUGACCGUUAUAGAUAAUAGAGAAAGCGAAAAUGUUCUUCCGAACUGUAUAAAUAAAAAUAAAACACAGCAUAUUACCACGCCUACAUCUUCAACUGCUUGCUCCAGUUAUGAAUUAUAUUACGCAAAGCUAGAUUUGCCGCAAUGCAGUACCAAAGAUAAUGCGAAAUUCCAAAAAAUUGAAAAUGUUGCUUCUCCAACAAUAAAUAUAGAAAAUGAUUCAUAUGCUAAAAUAGAUUUUGAUCAUUCUUCGGAUUCAUCAUCUUCUUCUAAAACUUUAAAUAAUUGAACCAACG